rnacentral:rRNA from 1 species
CCUACGGGGGGCAGCAGUGGGGAAUAUUGCACAAUGGGGGAAACCCUGAUGCAGCCAUGCCGCGUGUGUGAAGAAGGCCUUCGGGUUGUAAAGCACUUUCAGCGAGGAGGAAAGGUUGAUGCCUAAUACGCAUCAGCUGUGACGUUACUCGCAGAAGAAGCACCGGCUAACUCCGUGCCAGCAGCCGCGGUAAUACGGAGGGUGCAAGCGUUAAUCGGAAUUACUGGGCGUAAAGCGCACGCAGGCGGUUGGAUAAGUUAGAUGUGAAAGCCCCGGGCUC